rnacentral:lncRNA from 1 species
GAUAGAUACAACUGUAUACAUAUCUACAUCCUUUGAUUAACUUCUUCAACUAUUUCUCAUAUUGUUUGCAUGAAGAAGUUUUGAGUUCUGUGAACAGUCGAUCAGGUGUAUGUUUAUCGUGCAUCUAUUUCGGUAACAUUAUUUUGUCGAUCCGAUGAAGUAAGAUUGAUAUUGCUGAAUUUGGCCCGAAUGAAUUUGCGUAGUUGUAAAGUAUACGGCGUCCAUACAGUACUGUACAUUUUUUUGCAUAAAUGUCUUCCCAAACUAUCCAAGAAUGUGUCCCUGAAAUUUCAGACGCAAAUUCGGAAUAUUUUCGGAGUUACAGAAGAAAUAGUGAGCAAGCGUCGAGCAGGUAUACGAGCGGUUUUUUGAAGUUUUUUGAAGAGUCUGAACCAGUUUUUUGAAGUUUUGAACUAGUUUUUUGAAGAGUCUGAAGGGCAACUCUAUGGACCAGGAAUCGCUGAAUAGCAUAUCAAUGCGAUGGAAAUUGCGACCUGCACCUUUCCCGCCGCACGACAAAUGCAUACUCGAGACGCCUCGGUGAAAUGCUUGUACCAGGCAUAAUAUGACAUGUAUCCUAAUGAAAAAAUUCGAGAAGACUGUUGAAAUACAUAACAAUAAACCCUG